rnacentral:rRNA from 1 species
UACAGAGGGUGCGAGCGUUGUCCGGAAUCACUGGGCGUAAAGGGCGCGUAGGUGGCGACCCAAGUCAAUGGUGAAAGCUCGCCGCUUAACGGCGAGUCGGCCACUGAUACUGGGUUGCUCGAGUACUGUAGAGGCUAAUGGAAUUCCGGGUGUAGCGGUGGAAUGCGUAGAGAUCCGGAAGAACACCGGUGGCGAAGGCGGUUAGCUGGGCAGUUGCUGACACUGAGGCGCGACAGCGUGGGGAGCAAACAGG